UCCACCGUUUUUGUUCUACUCGCUUCCGAAGCUUUUCAGCGGUGUAGAACAAGGUCCACUGGGGGAGUAUUGCGAAUUACGGAGCGGAUUUCAACUGCCACUGUGAAGGCGGCAUAAGUUGAGCAAUAUUAGCCGAUUUACUGGUGAUGUAAUGUCACGCGAAAUCUUUUACUCAACUAGAGAGCUGAGGUAAGGUUUGCAAAUUGUACUGUAUAGCUAGCUAUCCUGCAUGCAUGGCAAGGUAAGUUGGCUGCACAGUGCUAAGCAGUGAAGUCUUGUAGGCAACGAUCAGCAGCAGACAACAGCAGUUGAGACUGUGUUGUAAUAUGAAAUUAAGUAAGUGCUUCAGUCAUGCCUAUUAUGUUUUAAGACUACUUUUUUGGCUUUAUUUUUUUCCAGUAAAUAUCACUUUUAAUCGUUAGUUAGCGUUAACUUAACCUGUUAACUGCCAUUCACAUUUUUGAACAUAGACUUGAAAGUACAUGAUCCAAACCUAUCAUUCACGACUGAAAACAUUACUAAACAGGUGUCCCACCGAGGGGCCGGGUGACAGUUAACAGAAAAUAAUAUUUGACAUACAACGGUAAAGUAAAAGUUCUAGACAGCACACAUUAUCAUUAGUAACUGGCGACGCUAGUUUAAGUUAAGGCUAACAAACGAUUAGAUUAUUAAGUUAUAUUAUUGGUCAAAAUGAAUUCCAAUUAAAGUAGCCUUAAAACACAUAGAGGCAUAAGUACAGCACUUAUACACAAUCUUUUUUUUUUUUUUUCAUUUUAAUAACACCUAUUACUUAAAUAUUUUACACUUACCACUGGUUUUUAAACUUAUUCUAACAUGCAUAUUUUUUCUGGUCUUUAGGUAACCAAGAGUUUUUUGUUACCUGGGGUCUUCAAACUUCAGAUACAGGAUCCGUCUGCCUAUGUGGUGAAAAGGAGAGAAGUAGUAGUACUGAGAUGCCUGAUUGAGUACAUGGGGGAGAGAAAAAAAGACCCCAUCAGUGUCCACCAUGAAUGUAUUGGGCUUAAAAGCUACUUGUCUAAUUUCUGUCUAGUCAUGAUGAAAGAGAGGUGCACGCUGAGCUUGGCAGUUCCCCACUGAAAAUAUACACGUGCCAUCAGCCAAACGCGAUUGGGAUUAUCAUACAGUAGAAGGACAGCCCGGUGUGCCAAACCUGUAGAAAGCAUGCUGCCUCCUGUUUGGACUUGCCUAUGCCCACAACCUCAAGUAUCCCUCAAAACUGAUGUAUAUUUAUGAUAUAUAUCAGAGGCUCUUUGUGGGAUUGGACCCCAUGCAUCCUAUUGUGUAUCUUUUGUAGGCACAAGAGACACUAGUUGACAUUGAAUAAAUGUUAUU